UACGUAGGGCGCAAGCGUUGUCCGGAUUUAUUGGGCGUAAAGAGCUCGUAGGCGGUUUGUCGCGUCUUCCGUGAAAACUGGGGGCUUAACUUCCAGCUUGCAGUGGGUACGGGCAGACUAGAGUGCGGUAGGGGAGACUGGAAUUCCUGGUGUAGCGGUGAAAUGCGCAGAUAUCAGGAGGAACACCGGUGGCGAAGGCGGGUCUCUGGGCCGUAACUGACGCUGAGGAGCGAAAGCAUGGGGAGCGAACAGG
rnacentral:rRNA from 1 species